UACGGAGGGGCGAGCGUUGUCCGAAGUUACUGGGCGUAAAGCGCGUGUAGGCGGGUUGCCAAGUCCGCUGUGAAAGCCCGAGGCUCAACCUCGGAGGGUCGGUGGAUACUGGCAGUCUUGAAGGUGCUAGGGGGAGAUGGAAUUACCGGUGUAGCGGUGAAAUGCGUAGAGAUCGGUAGGAACACCAGUGGCGAAGGCGGUCUCCUGGAGCAUUCUUGACGCUGAGACGCGAAAGCUGGGGGAGCGAACGGG
rnacentral:rRNA from 1 species